CCUACGGGUGGCAGCAGUGGGGAAUAUUGCUCAAUGGGCGAAAGCCUGACGCAGCGACGCCGCGUGAGGGAUGAAGGUCUUCGGAUCGUAAACCUCUUUUAGCAGGGAAGAACGGGCAGUGUGCUAAUCAGCAGUGAAUUGACGGUACCUGCAAAGGAAGCACCGGCUAACUCCGUGCCAGCAGCCGCGGUAAUACGGAGGGUGCGAGCGUUAAUCGGAAUUACUGGGGGUAAAGGGCGCGUAGGCGGUAUGUCAAGUCAAGGGUGAAAGCCCCGCGCUCAACGUGGGAACUGCCUUUGAAACUGGCAGACUGGAGUGUGUGAGAGGAUAGUGGAAUUCGAGGUGUAGGAGUGAAAUCCGUAGAUAUCUGGAGGAACACCAGUGGCGAAGGCGACUAACUGGCACAUAACUGACGCUGAGGAGCGAAAGCGUGGGUAGCAAACAGGAUUAGAUACCCGUGUAGUC
rnacentral:rRNA from 1 species